CACAACAAAAUAACAUUUUUCUUUUAUUUCAUCAAUAACAGGUGAUGUCACAUGAUUAUCGCACGUGCACAAUAAUUUUUUAUAUAUACAGUGUAUAUGUGCACAUUCAUCGCACACACACACACACGUCCUAUGACAAAAUCUUCACAGCUGCUAUAAGUAACUUUGAAUCUAUAAAUUACAAGUAGAUCUAAACACAUUCAUACAUUUGCAUAGAACCUUACGCUCACUCAUUCAAACACCCAGUUUAGAUAUGAUCUUCUUUGUCCCAGAUACCACAGGACAUCCUAGCUCACACACUCAGACCAGACAUCCUAGCUCACACACACAGACCAGACAUCCUAGCUCACACACACACUUUGACUAGAUGUGUCUAUAAUGAUAAUGGGGUGUAUCUACUAAAGUCAAUUACUUUCAAACAGCAACUGUUGUCUUCGACUGUCAACAUUUCAAAUUAACACAAAAAUAAUAAUGAUGAAAUCAAGGCCUCUUAAAAUGAAGUUAAAGAAAACUUUGAAAUGCAAUGAAAAAAUCUAUUCUGAGAAUACUUUGACGAGUUAAUUUUAACAUCAGCUUUUAAUUUCAAGUCAGAUUUGUUAUCAAGUGAAGCCAAUUGUGUCGGGUUGUGACAGAACCCGAACACCUCCAAUAUCUGACCAUUUCUUUUAUAUUUCAAUUCAGAAACUUAGUCUCAAAACAAAUCCGUAAAGAAAAUCAAACAACAAAAGAACAGUAAUGAGUUGUUUUUUUCCGAGAAUUCCUAAAGUGUUUGACGGUGAGGUAGAAUAAUAUGAAAGAAAACAUGCUGACAACUAAACGUUCCUGAUGCAUCACAUUAGACAACAUUUGUGGAAACUCGAGAUAAAAACAUAUUUUGCACCAAGCUUGCACCAGCAACUUCUGUAGCUCAACAAGAGCACGUAACAGUUGUAUUCUUUUGUUCUGUGCAAAUAAUAAUGUAUGCAUUUUUCUUUGUUAAAGAAUAAAUUAAAAACAUUAUCAAAGUCAUAAAUUAAGGCCCGUUAUCCCAUACCUAAUUUUGUUCAAAUAAACUCAAAAAUCUCGAAUCUACUCACUGUUUUAUGUAAACUGACAUAGACAGAUCAUGAAAUAAAAUAAUUCAACUUUGUUUUUACAUUGAAGACAGAAGAAACAAUUACAAUAUGAUUUUUGGGUGAAAUGCUAUAAAUACUGUCCAUACAAUUUGACUUUUUUAAUUUUGUUUUAAAACUGAUGACAUAGCCAUAAAACAAAAACUAACACAUGACAAUGGUUAACACAUAACUUAGAUCCCAAACAUGCACGUAUACACGGGUAGCACGAUCAGGGAGUCCCCGUAAAUAAAUAACAAAACAAAUACAGGCCACAGACUAGAUCUGCUUUAGUUUGUCUCCUAAAUCUCAAUCACCUUCAGGAUAAAUACCAGAACUGUAAAAUACUGAUUCAAUUCUCCUAUUAUCAUUCUAUUUUAACCUGUUCACCCCUAAAGUCACAUUCGAACCUUACCGAAUCAAAGGCUGGGCAAGUCCAGUUUAAACAUGUAGGGGUGAAUGAGUUAAAUGAGGCCCAAAAAAACUAUAUUUUUUUGUUUAACUGGUAAACAACAUUACCUAUUUUCAACAUAACUGAAAACACUUGUCAAUAAAUAGCCUUUUUUAGAGAGAAAAUAAAGCUGGUGGCCAUCUUUGAUUUUUAACACGGAUUCAUAACCAUACCUCUUUUACAGAGGCUGAUGAACAACAAACGUAAGCUAGCCUCAUCAAAAACUUUUAAAAGGUACGCUGCAUCAAUAAGUGAAAUUAUUUAGUUUCAAAACUACUGAAAAUCUGUGUUUGAAAUAGAUUUGGUCUAAGUUUCAUUAUACAACAAAGGGAGAGAAAUCCUUAACACAGUUUUUCCUGAGUUAUCAAAACUUAAACCCCAACCGCAAAAAAAAAAAGUUGUAGAAUUCUUUAACACAAUGGAGAAAAAUUAAAAUUCAAUUAAAAUAUGAUUGAAUACAUAUAUGUCUGCUCUUAUUCCAGUUCUUUCUUCAUGAUAGCUACAAAUACAAUACACAGAAACUAAUUCCAAUAUUUAACUAAUACGUCAUAGAAUGGAAUAUAAACACACAGUCAUACAAUACAAGUGUAAAAAUCUUAUGUACAGAUAUAUUUUUUAUCAUGUGAUCAUAUAUUUCUUUAUCUCUAUCAUAGAAGGUGUAUAGUUUAUAACAAAUCAUACAAGAAUACAUAAUACGUAAAUACGACGGCCCCACGUGCAGCCUUGUCAGCUGACCUGACGGGUUCAUAACAAAAAGCUUCACAUCAUAGGUAUACCACAUAGCACUAACAAUUUGCCAGGUUAUAUUUUAAUUAUAGUCGCAGCCUGAAGAAACCAACUAAAUAAAACACCCCCAGAUUUGUGGUCUUUGUGAUAAAGAGUUAGCUGGCAUGACUAGUGACUGGCGUGUGGUGUGGAUUGUGAGGAUAUUGUUGGGACAACCAAAUAUUGAUGGUAUUGUUCACUCAUUGACCCCUGAACACACAUUUGAACCCUUCCAAUUCAAAGGUUGAAAUAGUUCAUUAUGAAAUUUCAGGGGUGAAUGAGUUAAUAGAAUUUCGUUUAGGAUAAGUGACUUUGAAAUCCACGUACCAUACUGUAAGUGACGGCCAUGAUUUUAGACCUGCAAGACACUAUACAGUACAACAAGAUAUAAAAUAUGCCGAGUCAAAUCAAAAAAAUCAAUGUAAGGAACACUUACCUUUAUUAACCCAAAAAUAUCAUUAAGUUUUCCACUGAAAUUAGACAAUGAUAGAGUUUUUUGCAGUAAAUGGACGAAUUAGUGAGAAUCGAUAUUUACGAAUUUCAAAAUUUGAGACCCUCAUUUAAAGGAAAGUAGGAAUGUGUCAUCCUGAGGCAGUUCCUUCUUAUUUUAUUCUUGAUCAGACAUCUCAAAUGUUGUCAUCUCAAAAAUUUUAAUUAACAUUGCAAAUGAAGUUAUUUUCAUGACGUAAAUGUCACUUUGACAUAAAAAUAUUUGUGAGUGUAUAUUGACGUUAGCAGACAUCAAAGUAAACAAAAUCGAGUGAACUAAUUAUCCCUCUUAAUCAGGUAUACUUCUCUCGGCUGCGGGUCAAUUCUCAUUACAUAAUGCUUUUUAAAGUUUGCCUUUAUUCAGACAUAAAAUUAUUUAUGAAAUCUUUGGCUAAAUAAACAGACCACUGACCUAAGAAAUUCUAUAACUGUAUAAGCCUCAUCACCUCAAUAAUAAUCUCCUCAACUGAAAUCGUCAAUUAAACAUUUGUCCUCGGAUUAAAAAUAAUCUCUACAGGAUAAAUAAAAAGAAAAUUUUACUCAACUCAUUCACCCCUGAAAUUACAUAAUGAACUAUUCCAACCUUUGAAUUGGAAGGGUUCAAAUGUGUCUUCAGGGGUGAAUGAGUUCAUGUGUAAUUGCAAUAAAGCAACUGACUGCACCCUGGAUACUAAACAUUAACAAACAUAAUAUUUAGUACAUAUUAUACAUGUAUAUAUAGGUAUAUAUGUAAUCAAUAACAUAUGUUACAGAACACGGUCAUCAACAUGUUCUAGUAUAAGGAUUUAAUGCUGACGAAACACAAUCUGAUUUUGUAUCAGUAAAAGGUGUAUUAAGUGUUUAUAUUAUUUGGCCAUACAGAUUGCAACCUUUUAUAUGAAAAAUAAACAUAUACAACAUCUAAAGGACUUAAGCAAGUCUACAUGGAUCUGAAGGAGCCUUACAAACGUUAGAUUUCACAACAUUAAAAAAUAUAUAAAAUCUUUAUACCAAGGUUCUUAUAAUUAAUGCUUCUUCAAAACAGAUUCCAUUUCAGCUCCACAUCAAAUUUGGCCUUUUGUUUAGCAGAAAUGAUUUAUGUUAACAUAUAGAACCGUCGACGACUAAUGCUGUUCAGCUUUGUUCUUUGGUACAUUGAUUCAGUAAAACAUCAAUAAAAUCAAGAGGAAUAUUUCUCAAAACAUUUGAACAAAUAUUUCUGUUUCUAAUAAAUAAAUGUAAUGCUGUGUGAAAUAUACAAAACUGAAAACCGAGUCAAAAGGGCCUGUAUAGUUCACCAGAUGUCUGAUAAAAGGCAGUUAAAACUGUAACAUCCAUCAUUGUAUAUCAGUCUGCGGAUUGAUCUGUUUUUUGUCCCUGUUAUUGACAAAAACAAUGUAUAGAUAACCAAAAAUGGAUUAGAACAGAAAUACUCUAUGCUAUUCCUUUGUGCUAAAACCAAAAUGUUGAAUGUUAUUAUUGGUAAGAACAUGACCACCUUAAGUGGGCUGAUAAACUAUGAAAUACAUGUAAUGCUGUCUGGAUGAAAACAACCAAAUUAUUUAAAGAAUUUAUACAUUUGCCAUUUCUAGCAUCUCUGAUAAGAAUAAGAACUCAAACAUCCCGGUUCAUCUUGAAUAAGUAUAUAAAAAAAAAUGUUUCCUGAAUAAGGUCAGAUUACUUAUACUCAUAUCACCGAAAGGGUGAUUGUAAAGCUCCCGGAAGGUCAUACAUAACGUGGACAUUCUUAUAAUGCUUAUCUAUGAAUUUCAAAAUAUUCUCAAGCGUUAAUGCUUAAAAGGUUAAAACUUUAACUGCAUUAAAGAAGGGUUUCUAAGAAAUACAACUGCUUAACAACACAAAAUAUAGGGGAUCCUUCCACAUCAUUUCUGUGAUUUGUGAUAAGAGUUAUCUCCCUUCAAACAUUUUUGGUUAGACGUAUGAAAUAUUUACCCAAAUGUAACCUUUAGUGCAGGAACGUGUCCACGGAAAACUCAACCAAGUUCCCACUGAAAUGGGUGUUCAACCAUUUAGUGAAACAGUUUGUUUAGAAUUUUUAAUCAGCUAAAAGAAGCCACCCAGAAAGUAUUUUUUUUAUCUAAUGCUUUUUUUGGGCCUAUUGUUAUACAUUUAAGAUGUUUUGCAACAUUGUUUAAAUUUCAUGGUAUAUGUUUAAACUAAAAUGGGUUGCAUAACAUCCUGAUGUUAAACUGGUGCAUGUCACUCCUGAACUAACUUAAUCCAAAUGAAGUAAGGCAGCAUACAGCCUUAAAUAACAAAUGAGGUCAUGUAUUAUCACACGAUAUAUAUGCUUAAUUAACGUAGCUUUUAUUCUGACAUGAAUAAUAUCAGCCUUUCACACAAUCCUAACUAUAAUACUAUAUAAACUAACGCUCAUCUGACGUGAUCAUACUCUACCCUUACCUCAAUAGUAAGAUCAGCAUCCAGCCCAGAGUGUUUGACCACUUAAAAAUCUCCUCUAAGGUUCAAUUUUUAUGAUUUUCAAAUGAUUUGUACAAAAUUUAUUCACAAAUACCAAAAAUUCUUCUUAAAUUACAGUGGACCUUUGCUCAUCUGAACUACGGUAAUCUGGAGAUCUUUCUCCACUCCAAAUCUAUAACCUGCGUAAAUCUAACAGGAAUUGGUUUGUCAAUCCCAAACAAUUGUGAUUGCAGUAUUGUAGAAUUUUCAACGAUAAGGAUCACCAAAGCUCCACUGUUAUUUUGAUUAAUUUCCAUAGAACUUGUCAAAUCAUGUCUGAUCUUGAACAUAACUGCUGUAAUGGUAUUUUUUAAAUAUUUCAUUUUUUUUGAAAAUUCCACAUUAGGCUAAAUACUGGUCAAGCAACCCUUGUAAUUUAAGAAUUUCACAAGUGCCUAUAACUCUACAAAAUUUCACUAAUUCCUCUCUAAAUCAAGGCUAUAGUUACAGAAGCUAAUAUUGGAUGAAUUGAUGGACGGACAUACAGACAGAUAAGACUAUACCAUUAUGAACAACAUUUUUGCAUUUCAAAACAAAUUUGUGCCAUGGCAUGAGUUUACAGGCUCUGCUGGCCCGGUAAACUAAGAUUUCAUUCCUUCGACAAAAAGACUUAAUUGAUUGCAUGUUUAUCUACUGAGUAACUAUAGGUAACGACACACUUUAUUCCCUAUGAAGCUGGAGUUACUCUUCACGGCUGGUAAACCAUGUAUACAAUUUCUAUAGCUUGUAUACCUUUUGAUUUCUUCAAACAAAGUAUGUUUAAACCAGCUAGACUACCAUUGCAGUGUCUUAGGCUAAACAUCCCAAUAAUCUAAAACCAGACUUUCACAGGAAAUUUCUCUUUGAAUGUUACGACAAUUUCGCACAGACCAUGCAUCCCAGUGACAAAGUUAACUUUCCAAGCACUAAUGGUUCCUAAAAAGCCACUUUUCAACGCCCAAGUUCUAUAUACGACGAGUAUAAAUCUUGUCACCCUGAUGUUUAGGUGUUGAUGAAGUCUGUGUAGGAGUGACUGUUAUAAACACACCUUCACAGAAUAUACCACACCCAGUAUACCCUCAAGGCAUUUUAUGGUCAUCCCUAAAAUUAAAGUAUGAUUUUUUUUUUUUUUUAGGCAAAACAAUUUAAAGGUACAUAUUUAACACACUUAUAAUAAAUUAAUUCUGUCUGACAAAACACUUGAACUUUGUAGAAUACUUGACUUUGUUAUUCCUGCCUUGAACAUUUCCUGGAUUCCAAUCUGAUGCACUACCUGACAGUCGACAAAUGAUACUUAGGUAUCUUAUCAUGAUAAAA